UACGUAGGGUGCGAGCGUUAAUCGGAAUUACUGGGCGUAAAGCGUGCGCAGGUGGUUUUGUAAGCCAGAUGUGAAAUCCCCGGGCUCAGCCUGGGAAUGGCAUUUGGGACUGCAAGGCUAGAGUGUAGCAGAGGGGGGUGGAAUUCCGCGUGUAGCAGUGAAAUGCGUAGAGAUGCGGAGGAACACCGAUGGCGAAGGCAGCCCCCUGGGUUGACACUGACACUCAUGCACGAAAGCGUGGGGAGCAAACAGG
rnacentral:rRNA from 1 species